UGGAGGAUUUUCUUUUAUUAAUGCUAGGUGAAGUCUCUAAAAUACUAAUUGCACCUUUAAUUAGUCAACAAAUAGAUAAUUAAAGGUAAGUUUGCAGUUAUGAACGUUCUCUAAUUGAAUAAAAAUUUACUGGGGAUAGGAAGUCGCUUCGUAAGUGAUUUCUCAGCCUAGCUGCUGAGUUAGUCUACUAGGAUAAUUUAAGGGCGCAAAGGACUUGUGCUUGGCGGAUUAAGGAAUCAAUAACUAAGCAUUCUUUCUCUUUAUUUUGAUAA